UGGGGAAUUUUGGAAAAUGGACGCAAGUCUGAUCCAGCCAUGCCGCGUGCGGGAAGAAGGCCUUCGGGUUGUAAACCGCAUUUGUCAGGGAAGAAACGAGUUUCUCUAAUACAGAGACUUAAUGACGGUACCUGAAGAAUAAGCAACGGCUAACUACGUGCCAGCAGCCGCGGUAAUACGUAGGGUGCGAGCGUUAAUCGGAAUUACUGGGCGUAAAGCGUGCGCAGGCGGUUAUGUAAGACAGAUGUGAAAUCCCCGGGCUCAACCUGGGAACUGCAUUUGUGACUGUAUAGCUAGAGUACGGCAGAGGGGGAUGGAACUCCGCGUGUAGCAGUGAAAUGCGUAGAUUUGCGGAGGAACACCGAUGGCGAAGGCAAUCCCCUGGACCUGUACUGACGCUCAUGCACGAAAGCGUGGGGAGCAAAC
rnacentral:rRNA from 1 species